GCUGAAAGCCAAGUGGAGCAAGACCUUACAAUGCCAUCUGCCUGCCAGCCUGUGCUGCUGACAGGAGCAGGGGGCCACUUUAGCCCUCUGUGGGUGGGACCAAACUGUGCAUUCCACUCCCCUUAUCUCAUUUCUGAUGAGCUGUUCAUGAUGGGUCGUUUGCAGGAGCUGCCCAGUGCACCCCCGACCCCUCAGGCUAUGAGGAGCUGGCUGUUAAAUGAGAUAAGGAAGGAGAGGCAAACCCUGGGAGGCAGGGCAGUGUUUCUUUUUCUGCACACCAAUGACUCAGCUGUGAUAACUCCCUCCGGGGUAGCAGCAGCACAGUCCCACCCAGCCUGAGGGCUCACCUCUGCUGAUGGGCCAUCAUGGACUGAAUGGCCCCAGCACAAUGGGCAGCUGCAAGGACUGAGACCAUCAAGGCUCCCAAAAUACCCCAUGACUCCCAGGAUGACAUCAUUCCAUUGUGAAACUGCCCGCCCUGGGGGAGGGGCUGAGCAUUCCCACCUGAACCUGAGCAUAUAAAAUCUGGGUUUGGGGCCUUCUGGCUACACUUAACAGAUCCAGGGCAGGAGCAGAACUCCAAGAGGACUGUGACCACCGCUGUUGACAAGACUGCUCCCAUCACUUGGACAGGACUGUGUCCACCACUCUGACCAACAGGAUUUCCCACUCCCAAACCUUUGUCCAGAUGGAGGAGGACGCUGUGAGGAAGAGGAAGAUGCCCCAGGACACCCAGGCAGACAAGGAGCUGAGGACAGAGCCCAGGGAGGACAAAUCCCCGCGGCAGAACCUGGUGGAAGAGGCCGUUUUGAGUAGCUCCACAUCGCAGGAAUCCAGCUGGGAGGAAUACCACCGGAGAUCCCACAGGAGGAGGGGCUGCAAACGCAGCCCAGGCAGCUGUGAGGAGGAA